GUUUGACCUCGGAUCAGGUAGGGAUACCCGCUGAACUUAAGCAUAUCAAUAAGCGGAGGAAAAGAAACCAACAGGGAUUGCCUCAGUAACGGCGAGUGAAGCGGCAACAGCUCAAAUUUGAAAUCUGACCCUUUGGGGGCCCGAGUUGUAAUUUGUAGAGGAUGUUUCGGGCGCGAUGCCGGUCUAAGUUCCUUGGAACAGGACGUCAUAGAGGGUGAGAAUCCCGUAUGCGACCGGCGAUCAAGUCCAUGUGAAACCCCUUCGACGAGUCGAGUUGUUUGGGAAUGCAGCUCAAAAUGGGUGGUAAAUUUCAUCUAAAGCUAAAUACUGGCCAGAGACCGAUAGCGAACAAGUAGAGUGAUCGAAAGAUGAAAAGCACUUUGGAAAGAGAGUUAAACAGUACGUGAAAUUGUUGAAAGGGAAGCGCUUGCGAUCAGACUUGCUCGGGGGCGAUCAGCCGUUAUUCUUAGCGGUGCACUCGCCCGCGAACAGGCCAGCAUCGGUUUGGGCGGUGGGAUAAAAGGCUCGGGAAUGUAGCUUCUUUCGGGGAGUGUUAUAGCCCGGAUCGCAAUGCCGCCAGCCCGGACCGAGGACCGCGCUUCGGCUAGGAUGCUGGCGUAAUGGUCGCAAGCGACCCGUCUUGAAACACGGACCAAGGAGUCUAACAUCUAUGCGAGUGUUUGGGUGUUAAACCCAGGCGCGGAAUGAAAGUGAACGGAGGUGGGAGCCCGUCAAACGGCGCACCAUCGACCGAUCCAGAUGUCUUCGGAUGGAUUUGAGUACGAGCAUAGCUGUUGGGACCCGAAAGAUGGUGAACUAUGCCUGGAUAGGGUGAAGCCAGAGGAAACUCUGGUGGAGGCUCGCAGCGGUUCUGACGUGCAAAUCGAUCGUCGAAUCUGGGUAUAGGGGCGAAAGACUAAUCGAACC
rnacentral:rRNA from 1 species